ACAGGGCUAGAGCUCCUAACGAAAGGCCAGUUACAAUGGGUAAUAGUCAUUAGAAGUUCCAGCUAUUUUGAUGGAUUGAAAGAAAACGGUCCACAAAGGGAGGGGCACUAUUAGGAGCUGUGGCCUGGAUGGAGAAAGUGUGUCACUGUGAAGUCAGAGUUCAAGCCACAGCCAGUGAGACAGACCAGCUCCUGUUGCCUGUGAAUGAAGAUGUAAAGACUCUCAGGUAUUUCUCCAGAGCCAUGUCUAUCUGCAUGCCACCACGUUGCACUAUGAUGAAAAUGGACCAAACCUAUGAAAAUCUACAUGGCAUCUCUCUGACUCUGCCUACCAUCUCUAUAUACCUCUUCUAGCCUUGGUGUGGGAAAAUGGUUUGACAAUGGCAAGCAGCUCUAUGAUCUAAUAUAUGCUGCAGAUGGAUGAAGAGUUAAUAAUUCAUAUUCUUAGUCUUCAGAAGAAACAGAAAAAUAAUAAAAUCUAUUUAUGUGUGGUUCAACUGA